UGCAUUCACUACUGUAAGUUGCUCUGGAUAAGAGCGUCUGCUAAAUUAAUAAAA
rfam:Salmo salar isolate Sally breed double haploid chromosome ssa29, whole genome shotgun sequence.